rnacentral:rRNA from 1 species
AGUGAACGCUGGCGGUAGGCCUAACACAUGCAAGUCGAACGGCAGCACAGUAAGAGCUUGCUCUUACGGGUGGCGAGUGGCGGACGGGUGAGGAAUACAUCGGAAUCUACUUUUUCGUGGGGGAUAACGUAGGGAAACUUACGCUAAUACCGCAUACGACCUACGGGUGAAAGCAGGGGAUCUUCGGACCUUGCGCGAUUGAAUGAGCCGAUGUCGGAUUAGCUAGUUGGCGGGGUAAAGGCCCACCAAGGCGACGAUCCGUAGCUGGUCUGAGAGGAUGAUCAGCCACACUGGAACUGAGACACGGUCCAGACCCCGACGGGAGGCAGCAGUGGGGAAUAUUGGACAAUGGGCGCAAGCCUGAUCCAGCCAUACCGCGUGGGUGAAGAAGGCCUUCGGGUUGUAAAGCCCUUUUGUUGGGAAAGAAAAGCAGCAGGUUAAGACCCCGCUGUUCUGACGGUACCCAAAGAAUAAGCACCGGCUAACUUCGU